AUUGAACGCUGGCGGAAUGCUUUACACAUGCAAGUCGAACGGUAGAGGGGGCAACCCCUCGAGAGUGGCGAACGGGUGAGUAAUAUAUCGGAACGUGCCCAGUCGUGGGGGAUAACGUAGCGAAAGUUACGCUAAUACCGCCUACGGUCUAAGGAUGAAAGCGGGGGAUCGCAAGACCUCGCGUGAUUGGAGCGGCCGAUAUCAGAUUAGGUAGUUGGUGGGGUAAAGGCUCACCAAGCCAACGAUCUGUAGCUGGUCUGAGAGGACGACCAGCCACACUGGAACUGAGACACGGUCCAGACUCCUACGGGAGGCAGCAGUGGGGAAUUUUGGACAAUGGACGCAAGUCUGAUCCAGCCAUUCCGCGUGCAGGAUGAAGGCCCUCGGGUUGUAACUGCUUUUGUACGGAACGAAAAGGUCUCUCUUAAUACGGGGGGCUCAUGACGGUACCGUAAGAAUAAGCACCGGCUAACUACGUGCCAGCAGCCGCGGUAA
rnacentral:rRNA from 1 species